rnacentral:rRNA from 1 species
CCUACGGGAGGCAGCAGUGGGGAAUAUUGCACAAUGGGGGAAACCCUGAUGCAGCGACGCCGCGUGAGUGAAGAAGUAAUUCGUUAUGUAAAGCUCUAUCAGCAGGGAAGAAAAUGACGGUACCUGAGUAAGAAGCCCCGGCUAACUACGUGCCAGCAGCCGCGGUAAGACGUAGGGGGCAAGCGUUAUCCGGAUUUACUGGGUGUAAAGGGAGCGUAGACGGCAGUGCAAGUUGGGUGUCAAAACUACCGGCUAAACUGGUAGUCGCACUCGAAACUGCAGCGCUUGAGUGAAGUAGUGGCAGGCGGAAUUCCUGGUGUAGCGGUGAAAUGCGUAGAUAUUAGGAGGAACACCAGUGGCGAAGGCGGCCUGC